GUCCCCUCGGGGACAUAUGAUAAAAUUGGAAACAAUUAGUAUGGCCUUUGCGCAAGGAUGAUACACACAAAUUGAAUAACAGUUCCAAAAUAGU
rnacentral:snRNA from 1 species